rnacentral:rRNA from 1 species
AUUGAACGCUGGCGGCAUGCCUUACACAUGCAAGUCGAACGGCAGCACGGGAGCAAUCCUGGUGGCGAGUGGCGAACGGGUGAGUAAUAUAUCGGAACGUGCCCAGUCGUAGGGAUAACGUAGCGAAAGCUACGCUAAUACCGCAUACGAUCUACGGAUGAACGCGGGGGAUCGCAAGACCUCGCGCGAUUGGAGCGGCCGAUAUCAGAUUAGGUAGUUGGUGAGGUAAAGGCUCACCAAGCCGACGAUCUGUAGCUGGUCUGAGAGGACGACCAGCCACACUGGGACUGAGACACGGCCCAGACUCCUACGGGAGGCAGCAGUGGGGAAUUUUGGGACAAUGGGCGCAAGCCUGAUCCAGCAAUGCCGCGUGCAGGAUGAAGGCCU